UUUUUAACGCGAAGCAACCUUACCAUGGUCUUCGACAUCCAGUGACCACCUAAGAGAUUAGGCUUUCCNUUGCGGGGACUAAGAUCGACAUGGUGGUGCAUGGCUGUCCGUCAGCUCGUUGUCGUGAUGAUUGUUGGUGUUAACGUCCCGCAAACGAGCGCAACCCUUCGUUUNUUCAGUUCGCCAAGCAUUAAGUUGGGCACUCUAGNCGAGACUGCCGGUGACAAACCGGAGGAAGGUGGGGACGACGUCAAGUCAUCAUGCCCCUUAUGACCUGGGCUACACACGUGCUACAAUGGACGGUACAACGAGUCGCNGAAGNCCGCGAGGUUCAUAGCUAAUCUCUCUAAAGCCGUUCUCAGUUCGGAUUGUAGUCUGCAACUCGCCUACAUGAAGUCGGAAUCGUAUAAUCGCGAUCAGAAUUGCGCGUA
rnacentral:rRNA from 1 species